GCAGUCGAGCGNGCCCUUCGGGGUGAGCGGCGGANGGGUUAGUAACGCGUGGGAACGUGCCCAGAUCUAAGGAAUAGCCACUGGAAACGGUGAGUAAUACCUUAUACGCCCUUCGGGGGAAAGAUUUAUCGGAUUUGGAUCGGCCCGCGUUAGAUUAGGUAGUUGGUGGGGUAAUGGCCUACCAAGCCUACGAUCUAUAGCUGGUUUUAGAGGAUGAUCAGCAACACUGGGACUGAGACACGGCCCAGACUCCUACGGGAGGCAGCAGUGGGGAAUCUUGGACAAUGGGGGCAACCCUGAUCCAGCCAUGCCGCGUGAGUGAUGAAGGCCUUAGGGUCGUAAAGCUCUUUCGCCUGUGAUGAUAAUGACAGUAGCAGGUAAAGAAACCCCGGCUAACUCCGUGCCAGCAGCCGCGGUAAUACGGAGGGGGUUAGCGUUGUUCGGAAUUACUGGGCGUAAAGCGCGCGUAGGCGGAUUAGUCAGUUAGAGGUGAAAUCCCAGGGCUCAACCCUGGAACUGCCUUUAAUACUGCUAGUCUUGAGUUCGAGAGAGGUGAGUGGAAUUCCGAGUGUAGAGGUGAAAUUCGUAGAUAUUCGGAGGAACACCAGUGGCGAAGGCGGCUCACUGGCUCGAUACUGACGCUGANGUGCGAAAGUGUGGGGAGCAAACAGGAUUAGAUACCCUGGUAGUCCACACCGUAAACGAUGNAUGNCAGUCGUCGGCAAGCAUGC
rnacentral:rRNA from 1 species